rnacentral:rRNA from 1 species
GAACGUACGCUGGCGGCACGCCUAACACAUGCAAGUCGAACGAAGUAGCAAUACUUAGUGGCAGACGGGUGAGUAACAUGUGGGUAUCUGCCCUUUGGCCUGGAAUAACACGAGGAAACUUGUGCUAAUACCGGAUAAGUCUUUACGGAGAAAGCUUUAUGCACCAUUGGAUGAGCCCGCACUUGAUUAGUUUGUUGGUAGGGUAAUGGCCUACCAAGACUAUGAUCAAUAGCUGAUUUGAGAGGAUGAUCAGCCACAUUGGGACUGAGACACGGCCCAAACUCCUACGGGAGGCAGCAGUGGGGAAUCUUGCACAAUGGAGGAAACUCUGAUGCAGCGAUGCCGCGUGAGUGAAGAAGGCCCUUGGGUUGUAAAGCUCUUUCGUCGGGGAAGAAAAUGACUGUACCCGAAUAAGAAGGUCCGGCUAACUUCGUGCCAGCAGCCGCGGUAAUACGAAGGGACCUAGCGUAGUUCGGAAUUACUGGGCUUAAAGAGUUCGUAGGUGGUUGAAAAAGUUAGUGGUGAAAUCCCAGAGCUUAACUCUGGAACUGCCAUUAAAACUUUUCAGCUAGAGUAUGAUAGAGGAAAGCAGAAUUUCUAGUGUAGAGGUGAAAUUCGUAGAUAUUAGAAAGAAUACCAAUUGCGAAGGCAGCUUUCUGGAUCAUUACUGACACUGAGGAACGAAAGCAUGGGUAGCGAAGAGGAUUAGAUACCCUCGUAGUCCAUGCCGUAAACGAUGUGUGUUAGACGUUGGAAAUUUAUUUUCAGUGUCGCAGGGAAACCGAUAAACACACCGCCUGGGGAGUACGACCGCAAGGUUAAAACUCAAAUGAAUUGACGGGGACCCGCACAAGUAGUGGAGCAUGUGGUUUAAUUCGAAGAUACGCGCAGAACCUUACCAACACUUGACAUGUUCGUCGCGACUCUAAGAGAUUAGAGUUUUCGGUUCGGCCGGACGAAACACAGGUGCUGCAUGGCUGUCGUCAGCUCGUGUCGUGAGAUGUUGGGUUAAGUCCCGCAACGAGCGCAACCCUCACUUUUAGUUGCCAUCAUUAAGUUGGGCACUCUGAAAGAACUGCCAGUGAUAAGCUGGAGGAAGGUGGGGAUGACGUCAAGUCCUCAUGGCCCUUACGUGUUGGGCUACACACGUGCUACAAUGGUAUUUACAACAGGAAGCAAGACUGCGAAGUUAAGCAAAUCCCUAAAAGAUACCUCAGUUCGGAUUGCACUCUGCAACUCGAGUGCAUGAAGCUGGAAUUACUAGUAAUCGUGGAUCAGCGUGCCACGGUGAAUGCGUUCCCGGGUCUUGUACUCACCGCCCGUCAAG